GGACUACUGGGGUUUCUAAUCCUGUUUGCUCCCCACGCUUUCGCACCUCAGCGUCAAUACUUGUCCAGCGAGUCGCCUUCGCCACUGGUGUUCUUCCGAAUAUCUACGAAUUUCACCUCUACACUCGGAAUUCCACUCGCCUCUCCAAGAUUCUAGCUAUCUAGUUUCGAGGGCAGUUCCGGGGUUGAGCCCCGGGCUUUCACCCCCGACUUGAAUAGCCGCCUACGUGCGCUUUACGCCCAGUAAUUCCGAACAACGCUAGCUCCCUCCGUAUUACCGCGGCUGCUGGCAC
rnacentral:rRNA from 1 species